AUGGAAGAGCGAUUCUCUGUAGAGGUUAAUCACGCUGGUCUGUUUUGCGGUUCUGGAAUGAACAAGGCAUAUUUCGAUGGCCGGGUUGAUCACUUUGAUGGUUGUGAGGUAGAAACCUGGUCUCCAUUAUGGAUAUAUCAUUUUGUGGGGCAGCUUGGGCAUGAUCUAGCUAGGGUGGAGUUGUACUGGUUACUUCCUGGAAAACAUUUGCAUGAUGGUCAAUUGCUCACAGCAGUAGGUGUUGAUCUGAAUGAUUGCAUCUUUCCUAUUGCUAUGGCAGUUGUUGAAGUUGAGGAUACUCCCACAUGGAAAUGGUUCUUGAACACUCUGAAAGAAGACCUUGGCAUAAAUAAUACUAGUGCAUGGAAAAUAAUGAGUGAUCGACAAAAGGGGUUGAUCAAUGCUGUUAGUGAGCUUUUCCCUCACUCAGCACAUAGGUUUUGUGUGAGGCACCUAUACCAGAAUUUCAACAAAAAAUUCAAGGGGGAGAACUUGAAGAACAAGUUGUGGGCUAUUGCAAGGUCCUACAAUAAGCUUGAUUGGAGAAAACAUAUGGAUGACAUGCAGGUAUUGAACCAUGAUGCAUAUAACUACUUAGAAGCAAUUGAACCUAGCUCAUGGUGCAGAGCUUUCUUCACUACAUUGCCCAAGUCUGACUUGCUACUGAACAAUACAUGUGGAGUGCUUAACAAGUACAUCAUUGAUGCAAGAGAAAUGCCUAUAAGAUCCAUGCUACAGAAAAUUUUCAACCAACUCAUGACAAGAUAUUAUACCAAGAAUAAUGAGGCCGAAGAUAUGUGUGGAAUCAUAUGUCCAAAGAUAAUGAUUGCCCAAAUAAAGGUCAACAAGGGCAAUCACUCAGUAUUGAUAAGAGACCACAAGCACAAGGAGGACAAAAGAGGAAGCUACAAGUGA
rnacentral:rRNA from 1 species